GUUUUCAGAGAAAGAUAUAAAAGGGGUCGUUUUUCAGAUUUAAGGGAGAUUUUUUUGGGGACAAAAAAGGAAAAGGAGUGAAGAACUAGUGUGUAGGAACUCUUCAGAAAGAAACAUACAUUAAAAAUAUUUUUGUUUUUUGUUUUAAUUAAGACUUUUGGACAUUAAAGUGAGAGACAGAAAACGAAAAGAAAGGAUCCGCGAAAGGUUCUAGGAUUUUUGCUUUUGAUUUUCGAUCUUCUUCUUCUGAUUUCCUAGUUCUUUCAUAUUAAAAAAAUAUUGCAAGUUUCUUCGGUUUCUUUUUUUAUUUCAAAAUCAGAAAACAAAAAGGGAUUUCAGUUUCUCUUCUCUUCAAUUUUUGGAUAUCAAAAUAUGGAGUUCGAUUGAGUUAGAGGUGAGUUCGGUUUCUCCGGCGCCGUUCGAGUGUUGUUGCUGGUUCGUGGUUCUUGGAACACAAGUUCGUACUUGCUAGUUUUCCUAAAUAGUGAAGGAAUUUCACACAUCUCAGGGUAGUUAAGGUGAAAAAAAAUGAGUGUGACAACUUUGCGGGCUUCCACUCGUGGUGAAUUGCAGUUCAGGUGGUCAAAUUCCUGAUGUUGAUAUUGAAGAGAAUGAGAGUGACGAAGAACAAUCAGAUUGGUUUUACAUUUCAAUGGCAAUCGGAUUUGGUGUAAGCUUUUGGGGAGUAUGUGCUUCUUUGAUUUUCAAGAGAUCAUGGAGACAUGUCUAUUAUCGCUUUUUAGAUAGUAGUUGAAAAUCCUUAUGUGAAAAGUUACAAAUAUAGGGAGGGAUAUGGUUGAGGAGAUUGUUAUUCUCAAGAGUCUUAUUGUAUGUUCACUUAAACAAAAAGUAGACAAAUAUUCACAAAUAUGUUUUUUAAUCUCCGUAGUUAUAGUAGGGUAAAUUUUAAACCUUCGUAGUUACAGAAACGUGAUCUUAUUUAUUCUUUGGCGUGGAGAGUGGGUUAUUAGCAUAAAAACUUUAAGUUUAUUAUAUGAUAUUAGACAGUAUAGACUCCUGGCACUUCAACCUAAGUGAAGAAAAACUCUUUAAGGAAGCAAAACAAAUUGUAUAUGGAUAGAAAUCGGGGCUAUCUGAUUUCAUCCUUUGCUCGAGAUGGGAAUGUUGCGUCAAGGAGCUAGGCCAUCGGGUCCGGAAUUGAAGCCUCUUUUCGGACCAAGGUCGACGUCAAUCGCAGUCAGAGAGAGGCAGACUCCGAGUGACAUCGGUAUAGCUUGAUAACGGAAAAUGCGGGAUAUCCGCGAUUGAUCGAGGAUCAUGGCGUGAAUCUCGAAACGGAUCAAUCCACGACGGUUAAUCAGAUGUCAAUAUGGUUUCCUACUUAAAUUAGAAGCGUAUCCUGAUUAGGGCUCCUCUAUUAUAUAAAGAGAGAUCCUAUUCAUUUGUUAUGAUAGUUCACUCAUAAGAAUAUAUACACUCAUUACUUUUCCGCUAUUUCACUUACUAUUCAUCAGAGUUGCUUUAUCAUUUACUAUUCUUACUAUCCCACCUCGAGACUACCCAAGUCGAGGUCGAGACCUGGCUAACAUACUGGUUUGAUUUAUUUUAUUCUCCAAUUUAUUCAUUUAUUUUCUUGCUUAUUAAUUGGUAUUGGACGAAAUCACAUAUCCUUAAAACCACAAUAUAAGUUUAAUUGUUAUCCGAAUUUGAGGGUAAACAUAAACUUGUUAAAAAUAGAAGGUGAGAUUCUAAAUAUGAAUAGAACAAUUACUCUGUCUAAUUUGGGUUAAUUAGGGUUGUGCGUCCAAACUGGAGUUGGCAAAUAAAUAUAUGAAAUGUUGUAUAUUUAUAUAUUCUGUCAAAUUAUAGAAGUUAAUUGUCUCUGUUUCAUGAACGCACAUAAAUAAAUACCGAAGCAUUCUCAAUCACUAUGAAAACAUUCUGUCUUACAAGUUUGCUUUAAACACAAAGACCAAACAUCUUAUCCAACAAAUCAAAAUUUUCAAUACAGAAGUCGAAUAAUUAUGUCUGUCUUUAACAUUCUGUAGGCAAAAACAUAGAAUCAGAGUACAAAAGGCCUAAUUUACUACUGGUUAGGUGCAUAUACAACAUGCCAGAGCAGUCCAUAAUUAGUUGGCAAAGCCAACACAAGAUUAGAGACGUCUCUCCUUCAUUCUAUAUUUCAAUUAAAUCAACUCUCUGGUCAAAUCCUGCAAACCUUUUCGAGUUUGUUGACUAUGAGCUUCUUGAAUUUGUCUUAUAACAAUUUAACAGGAAAGAUACAUGUGAGCACUCAACUUCAAAGCUUUAAUCCCUCGGGUUUCCAAGGAAACAAACUUUGCGGGCUUCCACUCGUGGUGAACUGCAGUUCAGGUGGUCAAAUUCCUGAUGUCGAUACUGAAAAGGAUGAGAGUGACGAAGAUGAAUUGGAUUGGUUCUACAUUUCAAUGGCAAUAGGAUUUGGUCUUAGCUUUUGGGGAAUAGUAUGUUCUUUGAUUUUCAAGAAUCAAAGAGACAUGCCUAUUAUCGUUUUUUAGAUAGUAGUUGGAAAACCUUAUGUGCAAAGUUAUAAAUAGAGGAAGGGAUAGGUUGAGGAGAUUGUUAUUCUCAAAAGUCUUAUUGUAUGAUGUACUUUUCCUUCAAUAAAAAAUAGAUGACUGUUCCCAAAUGAUGAAGAUGAAUUGGAUUGGAUUGGUUCUACAUUUUUCGGACAAGUUGAGUAUUCCCAACUACUAUUUAAAAAACGAUAAUAGGCAUGUCACCAUAAUCUCUAGAAAAUCAAAGACAAACAUACUCCCCAAAAGCUUAGACCAAAUCCUAUUACCAUUGAAA